GACGAACGCUGGCGGCGUGCUUAACACAUGCAAGUCGAACGGAAAGGCCCUGCUUUUGUGGGGUGCUCGAGUGGCGAACGGGUGAGUAACACGUGAGUAACCUGCCCUUGACUUUGGGAUAACUUCAGGAAACUGGGGCUAAUACCGGAUAGGAGCUCCUGCUGCAUGGUGGGGGUGGGAAAGUUUUGGCGGUUGGGGAUGGACUCGCGGCUUAUCAGCUUGUUGGUGGGGUAGUGGCUUACCAAGGCUUUGACGGGUAGCCGGCCUGAGAGGGUGACCGGCAAAAUUGGGACUGGGAUCCGGCCCAGCCUCCUCCGGGAGGAAGAAGUGGGGAAUAUUGACCAAUGGGCGGAAGCCUGAUCAAGCACCGCGGCGUGCGGGAUGACGGCCUUCGGGUUGUAACCCGCUUUAGCCUGUAACGAAGCGUGAGUGACGGUAAUGGGUGAAGAAGCACCGGCUAACUACGUG
rnacentral:rRNA from 1 species